CCCCUCCAAGAAACCUGUCUGACAUGCCUUAAAGCACACAAACACUCUUCUGAAACACUCCUUGUGCAGUUUGUUUCCUCUCAAUGAGUAUUCCAUAGUGUGCUUGUCAAUUUCAACUACACUGCCUGGUGAUGUUCUCUCAACUUCAGCCUUGAAUGAAUAAAGCAGAUUGAAACUGUCAUUGUACUUGCCAAACAUCUUGUCUAGUGCCAUUUCUGU
rnacentral:lncRNA from 1 species